rnacentral:rRNA from 1 species
GAUGAACGCUGGCGGCGUGCCUAAUACAUGCAAGUCGAGCGAACAGACGAGGAGCUUGCUCCUCUGACGUUAGCGGCGGACGGGUGAGUAACACGUGGAUAACCUACCUAUAAGACUGGGAUAACUUCGGGAAACCGGAGCUAAUACCGGAUAAUAUAUUGAACCGCAUGGCUCAAUAGUGAAAGACGGUUUUGCUGUCACUUAUAGAUGGAUCCGCGCCGCAUUAGCUAGUUGGUAAGGUAACGGCUUACCAAGGCGACGAUGCGUAGCCGACCUGAGAGGGUGAUCGGCCACACUGGAACUGAGACACGGUCCAGACUCCUACGGGAGGCAGCAGUAGGGAAUCUUCCGCAAUGGGCGAAAGCCUGACGGAGCAACGCCGCGUGAGUGAUGAAGGUCUUCGGAUCGUAAAACUCUGUCAUUAGGGAAGAACAAAUGUGUAAGUAACUAUGCACGUCUUGACGGUACCUAAUCAGAAAGCCACGGCUAACUACGUG